AUAUAUUCCCUCUGUAAUUUGACUUUAUUGAUCCGUGCAUCAUACGGACUCAUUUCAAGUAAUUAAAAAACUUCGGCGUAUUAUAAAAAGUACUCCCUCCGUCCCGGAAUACUCAACCCGGUUUGACUGGCACAGAGUUUAAGGGACUUGAAUUGACUUAUUUAAUUUAAUAGAUAGUAGUUGAUAGUGGGGUAUUAUUUUAAUGUAGUUAGUGGGAGGUGGGUUAAGAGGUGGGGUUGGGAGAGAGUAGGGGUUGAAUUUUUAAUUAUUUUUUGUAUGGAGUAGGGGGUAGGUGGGUUAAUAGGGGUGGAGUGAGAAAUAAUAUAAUAUUGUUAGAAUAUUUCCAUUUUUAGAAACAUGUCAAGUAUUAAGGGACGACCCGAUAAGGAAAACAGGUCAAGUAUUCCGGGACGGAGGGAGUAAACAAAUUAAUUCUACAAAAAGGAGUAACCGUUUUUACUUUUGAGAGUUCUAGUUAGGCCCAAAAUCGUUGAACACAAAAAGGAAAAUUAAAAAAAUCCAACUCAUCAACUUUCCGAAACCGCGUCAAAUUUGGAAGACUUAACCGCCUCAACCAGCCUACCCUCUUCUAUAAAUAUAGCCCCCCACCCUCCCUUUCCUCUAUAUCUUCGACCUUCGUAUGGUUUACACUUUCUUGCGUCGUUUAUCUCGUUAUCUUCGUUAAUACCCUACCUGGAUUGUUCAAUUUCAGACUUAUGUUCUUGUGUUUCCCCUAUAGUUAUGGGUUGGUUGGUAGUUUUCCUUUUAAUCCAAUUGCUGAAUAAUUAGGGAUUUGAUUGGAUUUCUGAUUUUCGAAUUCUCCGUAAUAUAUCGGCUGAGUUAUUGAUUGUUGCUACUUUAUAGGCUUCUUUCGGAUUGAUCGGUGUAAUAUUUGCGCAAUUUUUUUGAGACGGAAGCUGUUAAUUCAAUUGCUGAAGAAUUAGGGGUUGUAAUCAAUUUUGAAUUAGGGGUUUAUAUUCAUAUUGAUGUUCUUGCGCUGCUCUAUAAGGUUUCUGGCUGUUUGUUUAAUACGAUUGCUAAAUUAUUAGGGUUUGAUUGUAUUUCUGAAGUUCGAAUUCUCCGAAUUUAUAGGCUGGUUUAUUGAUUGUUGCUGCUUUCUUGGCUUCUUUCCGAUUGAUUGGUGUAAUAUUUGCGCAAUUUUUAAGACGGAGGAUAUUAAUUCAAUUGCUAGGAAUUAAGGGUUUCAAUCAAAUUUGAAUUAGGGGUUUGAAGUAUUAUCGCCGAAUUUCAUAUUUAUAUUCUUGUACUGUUCUACAAGGUUUCUGAUUGGUUGAUAAUUUCUGAUCGGAAGGCUAUUUGUUUAAUUCGGUUGCUGAAUGAUUGAGGUUUGAUUGAAUUUUUGUUCGUGUUAGAUUUUGGUUUUGUUUUGAUGAUUAAGCAGUUGCUUCGCCAAAAGGUUCAGUGUUAGAUUUUGGUUAGAUUUUGAAGAUUAUGCAGUUGCUUCGCCAAAAGGUUCGUGUUAGAAUUUGGUUUGAUUUUUGAUGAGUAUGUAGUUGGUUGUAUGAUCGUUGAUCAAGUAGGCCGAUUGUUGAUAUGCAAUCCUCACAAAGGUUUGUGCUUUAUGAGGAUUUCACAUAGCUGAUAUGCAAUUCUAUUUGUCGGUUUGAAUGCUGUUGUGUUGGUUGUAGUCCCAUAAACUCUAACAGAUUUUCAGGCGUUCCGUUUCUGUUCGCUAUGAUUUUAUCCAAAUCACCUCGUGAUUUUGUGAUGAUGAACAAGUUUGAGGAUUUGGAGAUAAAAAUUUGCUAUGAAAAAUUCAAAUCUUAUAGACGAUGGUAUUAAUUGCUUACGUUUAGAAUCCCUUAUUACCAAAUAAGAGACUGGUGCUGUUUAUUUCAGACUUCAUACUUCUAUUUCUUAAUAAUAUCUGCAGUAUUCGGUUGGCAAUGGAAGUUUCUUUCGAUUCUCCCCUGCUUUGGUAAACUGUAUUAUGGCUUCUGUUUUUCCUUCAAGCGCAUAUGGCGUAUAUAUUCUUGAUAUUUUAUAUUGUAAAUAUUGCUUAAUACCUAGUUUUGAACUGUUUUUAAACGGCAUUUAUCUUCUAAUCAUCAUCAUCUAUUUUCAUCUUUUUGUUCUGUUAUAUAUUUUUCAGUUAUACUUGGCUUAUCUGAUGUUACUUUAACAUAAACUUUUAACAAUUUUUUUUAAGUAAUUCAUAUUUCAUAUUUUCAUUUGAAACAAAAUUGUUUUCUAUCUAAUUUUCUUCUUUGGGUUGGAUUUGGUACAGCAAAAGCACAAGAGGUCGAAAUCCAAAUAAGUUGAUUCCUUACAAAUAGUCAUAUUUUCAAUUGAAACAAAUUUUAUUUUUUAUUUCCUAUUUAUUUUUAGUGUGCUAAGUGCUCUUCUGAUAUUUCCAAGUAUUGCCCAGAGACCUAAGUAUGAGGAUUAAGAGUGGUUGACUACCUCAGAUUCUAUGACAUGCGGAAUUCCUGGAACUAAAUUUUGAGGUCUGAAUUCUCCAAGCGUUGGUUAAUUUAUUGAUUAUUUUUGCUGGACAAUUUGUCUUUGUUUUGUUUUUUCUGCUGCAGUUGCUUCAUGUUGGUUGAAAUACUGGUGAGUAGGUUCUUUGUUGUCUGCGUUCCCUGGGAAUAUUGUUAUUCGCUGAAAGGUUUUUACCCUAGAUGGUUUUGAUCAGCAUAAACAUUUUGAUUUGUUGAUUUGGAGUUUUGUAUAGCUUUUUCCACCUCUAUUGUGGUGCUUGCAGUUCUAAGUCACUUGAAAAUUUUAGGCUUCUGUUUUGUAUUUUCCCCUCCAAGUCUUCUCUUGUGUUUGCCUGUUUCGUGAACAGGUGAUGGGGGUGAUGAUGAGUUAGACAAAGUUCCUCUUGGAAACCAAACUACACAUUAUGGUAUUUAUACUUGAUAGAAAUAAAUAUCUCUUCUAACAUCAGAUGGUGUGGUUGGUGUUUAACAAUAAAUGAUUCAAUUUACAUCACUCAUUCUGAAAUAGGGACUUCGGUGUAGGAAAUUCCAGCCUCCAUGUUGCUGUCCGUUUCCUCCUAUUCCUGUUUUAUCAUGGGAAUUGAAUUUGUAUGUAAGUAACGCAUGCUUGUUCUUCGUGGUGGCGUCAAGUUUCUCUAAUAAUAUUAAUUAUCAAUUUAUCAGUAUAUUGUUCUCCUCCCUAUGUGAUUAGCAGGGUUACUAAGAUCAGUGGUAAUACUUCUCAUGAUUGCUUUCUUGCUUGUGUUGGAGAUAUCAGUAAAUGAUUUCCACUCUCUCUGAGUCAUGUGUGGUAUUGGGUUUCUUUCUCCCAAGGCUUGUGUUAUGUUGGGAAAUUUCAUUUGCUGUUAUUCUUUUUUGGGUCUAUUUCUAGCCUAAGCUUCCAGGUAUGCGUUCUGUUUUUUGCCUAGUGUUGGUAAUGUUUUUUUAUAUUUCUAUUCUUGAUUUGUGGGAUAAUAGCUUUGUGCUCGAGGUGGGGGCGUAGGGAUGUAAGUGUUCUCAUCGAGGUAACCUUUUCUUCAGAACCAAUAUAAUUUGCAGACUACUGACUUGUGAUCUUGUGGCGUACAGCGUACUGUAAGAAUUUUUUAUUGGUGAUUUUUGAAUUUGUUGUUUUCCUAUGGCUUGGCACUUCUUGAUAUGGUACUAGCUGCAAUUGGUGACUGGGGAUGAAAAUUUUUAUGGUUUGUUUCUCUCGCAGACAACAAUAUUUGGUAGUUCUCAUGGUGUGUAAUACUUAGGAUCAACAGUUUGCGGUUAGAAUCUUUUUGUCCUCAGAGACCCCUUCAUCCUUCCAAUCAACAAUAUCUUUUCCCUUUGAAGUCGCAUUUUAUCGACGUGGACAAGGUUUAUCACAUCUAUGGGGUCGAUGAAGUUCCGUUCCUGUUUGUGUUCCCCGAAGAAAGCAACACUUGCUUAAGUCUUGGGGUGCUAAGCGGUGGCAGCUGCAGGGGGCAGGUUUUUCUGAUUCAUGUGUCUUUUCUCCUACAUAAUGUUCUCCCUUUUUCUGUUGGCAAGUGUUGUAAACUUGCGGUUCUUGUGGUAGUUAAGUUAUUGCUAAUUUGUGGUAGGUAGCAUCUCCAUUGUGGUAGCAUGCUUGCUGGAUAAUGAUUGGUUUCUGAUAGUAUUUCAGAGUAAGUAUUGUUUCCUUUAAGGCUUGUGUGAUAGUAUGAGUUCUGUUUCUUAAUAAUUUUUUACUCCGUGGGUGAAUUUCUAGCUACAGCUUCCUGGUAUAUGGUAUGUGUACUUUCCUUUUUCCUUUUGUGGUGAGUGACCGAGUGUUAAUCGUUUAUUCUCUUAUUCCACGGAGCCCUUCAUCUUUCCUUCUAACAUUCCCCCAGACUAAUUUAAGCAGACAUCCUUUAGCCAUGAAUUGUUCUGUAGGUAAACAGACAACUGCUUCUUUAUUGGACUUCGUGUUGAUCAAAGGACAUUAUGUUGAUCCAACUGCUGGGUUACUUGGAGGAACAUUACGGUCUGGUUGGUUUGUGCACUUUCUGCAUGACUCUCUGAUUUAAUUGCUGAUAAAUAUUGGCUUUCUUGGGAGCAAAGUUCUUUCAGUUUGUUGUUUCGACUGUUGUGGCGCUUAACUUUUGCAGAUUUAUGGUGUUCUUUUCCUUCCACUUCCACUUCCAUUCGCUUUUGUGAAGUCAUCUCUUGAUUCAUGAUAAGUGGUUGGUCAUAAUCAAUUAACGAUACAACAUUGGAAUUAAUUGUUAUCAAACUGGGACCGCAUUGUUGUUUGUUUCAUGCUUGUUGCUUAUUUUAUUGAAAAUUUGUUAUCAUGGCAGAAAGGUCAUUUCUAUUUGAUCACUAGACCUGUCUGUGAGGCUGUGACCUAUCUACAGUCUGCACACAAUUAAUUACUUGUGAGCAGUACAUGAUUUUCGCUGAAGGUUGAUAAUAGUUGUUCCUCUAAAUUGAAGGCAAUCUGGUAACUGUCUGAAGCUGAUAUACGUGUAAAAUGAGCAAUUCCCUUGGAUUCUGACGCUGAUGAUAGUUGAAGACUUUAGGAGUUUGGUGACUUAUUGAUUAUUUUUGCUGGAGGAGUUCUUUGUUUUGUUUUCAAUGGUCAUGCAGUUGCUUCUCGGGAGUUGUUUAAUUGGAGAUCAAGUAAGUUGUUAGUUGACUCCGUUGUCCGAUAACGUUAUUUGCAGAAAGGUUUGUGCUAGACGAUUUUGUUCUGCAUAUUUGAUGGAUUUUGGAGUCCUUUCUGAACAGUUGUUUUGACUACUGCUGUUCCUGUAGUUUACUUAAUCUCUUGCAGAUCAGAAUUCAUUUUUGAUUUGGCCUCGUGAAAUUCUCUUGAUUAUGUUUACCGGUUUCAUGAUCAAACGAUGCUGGAUUCCGACAAAGUUCCUCUGGAAACCAAAUGACAUAGGUGACUGUUUUGAUAGGUUGCAAACAGGUUAACAUCUGAUGAUGGUGUAUUUAUCGUUCAAACAACUGAUGAUUUUAAUUCACUCAUUCUCAAUUUGGGGCCUUAAUGUUGUAACUUCAGAUUUUAUACUGGUUCCUUGUUUAUCUGCCUGCAGUGUGUUCUGUUGUUCGUAAUCUUCUCCUCCUUUUUGAUCGUGGACCUUUUGCAGCAAUAGGAUAUUGAUACAUCUGAUGCAAUGUAAGCUUGUGAUUUGGGAUGGGUGUUGUGAGUUGUUCUCUUUUCAUUUUUCUGAUUAGUUACUUUCAAAAACCAAAUUACACGGGCAAUGGUGUACAAUAUUGAUGUUAGAAUUUGCAGUCUAUUGACUCUAUUCACUCUUCAGUUGAGGUUUUACUCAUUCUCAAUCUCUUGAGUUUCUUGCUUUAUUUGGAUUCUGGAUUUUCACAAUUGGAUUCUUAUGGUGUUUGGUUACGUUCUCCUAGGCUUUUGCUGGAAUUUAUUUUCUUCAUUAUAAUAUCUUUUUUUGUCAAUUUUGUAGCUGGUGGCUAGUAUUGAUCAUUCCUUUUUACAGUUUAUAUUCUGAAGAUUUUUACUCAUCUUGUAUGGAGAUAUCUUGUGCUUCAAUGACUUUGAAUCAUAUGGGUCUUAUUAGAGUUGGUAGUACAAGGAUCUUGAUAAGAGUUGUCUAGAAGUGUAGAUGCAGUUUCCCAUCCUGUCCUUAAUCCUGAAAUCUGGGUCUUAUUAGGUUUGCUUGCGUCAUAAAGUGUUGGUGCUUGGAAACGUAUGGAUGUUGGUGGCUCAUGAUAUGUUGUGGCUGUCUUAUAAUUUUUGCUGGUUAAUUUGGCUUCGAUUGGUUUGGAAUUGAUGUGUGGUGGUUGCUUGGAGACUGGAUUUCAGAAACUUUUAUGGUUUGUUUUUAUUGCAGAACUAUUAAACUUUAUGGUUCUAGUUCUUUUACACAAAAUAAAAUCAAAAUGUGAACAUCCUUAGUCUAUCUUAUUUUGUAGGUAUACAACCAGUUGUUUCUGCAUUUGACAUCAUUCGAUCAAAAUGGUUAGUUAUGCAUCAAGAUCUAUUACAUGAUUUUAUUUUUUUUAGAAAAAUAAAUGAUUCUGGUAUUAGAAUAUUCCCUUUAUGCUUCUCAUAGAAUGUGUAUCUUGCUGUUGAUGUUCCUUACGGAACUUGUGGGAUGAAAAGCAUUUAGCACGCCAAUGCUCUUAAUUCUUUACGUCUAAAGGGUGUGGGGUACUCGAGUUUUAAUGCACUGGGUUAGAUGAAGUGGCAUCUCUUUCUCUUCUUUUUUUCUUUUCUUUUACCCUAAUAAACCCUUGGAGCCAUUUUAUGUACGCCGCUUCUGCUAUGGUGCUUGACUCUUGCAGCUAGUUUCUGUUUCUAAGAGCCUUUAGGACUUCAGGUAUGGAGCUCGGGUUUCGAUGAUGCUUUGGUUCUUGCUCUUCCUCUCCCUCCCCUCUUCUCUUGGUUGUAGAGAAUGUAAGUGAGCUAUUGAGCUUUGACUGGUAAAAGAUCGUCCCAAGCUCUUUGCAAGGUUGAGUUUCUCACUCUCUUUCAGUUUAUCCCACAAUUUGGUUUUAGGGAUUAAUCUACUUCUGUUCUCUUGGCUCCAGUGAAUGAAGCAGAUAUUAUUGGCUCUGUUCUUACCAACAUUUUGAUUUGUUCAGGAUUGGUAAUUGGUACUUGAAGUGAUUUGUGGUAUGAGGUUUGAGUUUUGUUGUUGCAUCUUUUAGUUUCUGACAUGUGCGUAAGAAGUAGAUUAUGUUUCUAGAAUUGUUGUAUCUUGACAACGAUCAUUUAUGACGAAGUGGGUAGGUUUUCAAGAAAAUGUUUUAUUUUGGGUUUUACAGUUCUGUGAGCCCUCAGAGAUUUUUUAUUUAUUUUUGGGUGUACUGCUCUGUGUGCCUUCAUGUGUGACUUUUGGUUGAUGAGUGUGACAUUAGUAGUUUUUAUGAUAUGUUGUCUCCGAAUGGUGGAACUUUGAAUUCAUGGACUAUCUUCCGCUGAUGUAAAAUAACUUUUGUGUCCUUCACUUACGAAAUUUGUGUACCAUGCGUAGCUUGGUCUUCAACAUGCCCAUCUAUAAAACUCCGACCUUCAUUAUGAUAAAUUAAUUUGAUUUUGUGAUUCCUGAAGCUCCUCCUACUUCUUGGCUUUUUGUACGUCAUCCCUCUUAACUUCAGGAGUUCAACUGUUCCAUGGUUAAGAUUUUGUGGAUUUUCAUGGUUCCAAGAGUGUAUCUUCAGAAGUCUUCUGUCCGUUGCGACUUGCUAGGUGAAAUUGCUCUUGGUUUGUUGUUGGCUUCUCUUCCUGAAUCAUUUCAUGACUUCUUGCUCUCAAAAUUGAGCUAUUGGUGCACUUUGAUGUUUUGACAUGGCUUGCGUGUGGGGAUUUUUCUAACAUUUUUGACGGUGAUUUUUUGUACAUUUGCACACCAGACCUGCAGAGAGUGUAGUUGGUUAUUUUUUCACAGAUUUUGUACUCUUUUUCCUCCAAAAUUUUUUUCUUUUAUAUCUUGUGAAUUUGUAUUUCAGUAAAGCAGUUUAUUGCUGACUUCACAAUCUGUUGCUUACAUGAUUUAUAAAGGUGGAAUCUCCGUUUCCUGGAGUAAUCUGGAAUCUCAAGAUAAUCCUACAUUUCGGGUUACCAGGCUUUCACUUUGGCAUGUCAUCAGAAUGUGUUCUCUUUCUUCUUGAGUUAUUUGGUAGCAUUUGCUGUUGAUUUUCUCUGCUCGGGCGAUUUUUUAUUGGGAAUUGGUGUGUUGCUUGUAAUAUUUCUGCUUAUUCCAGUGGGAGUCCUCCGUGCCCUGUACAAGUGUCAGCAUUGCUCAGUUAUAUGCCAACAUUUGCUUGUGUAGUGAUCUCCAAUGCAUGAGGUUAAUUGUCUGGAAAAUUACGCUGGGUGAAGUGGUCUCAGGUUAUAUGGUUUUUGGAUAUCAGGGAUAAGUUCCAAUGGUUUGGGAUGUUAGGGAGAUGUUCUAUUGUUUUUGGGGCUUUAAUGAUUCCAUGUUUUCAAUGCAGAUAUGUUAUCUUUUGGUUCUGGUGUAAGAUGUGGUAGAUACACAUGGUUUUGGGACAGUGGUAAUUGGUAUUUGGGCUUUCUUCUGUGUUUUAUGUUAUGGGAUACAGAGAAAAAUUGAUGUGGGUUAUGUCUUGUGGAUGUUGAUAUGAGACUAUGAGAGUGGUGGUAUGGAGAUUUAUUGCUUUUGAAAGAGAGAAGAGCUGCAAUCUGUCACAUGUUUACACAGCUUGUACGCCUAGAUUAUGCCAUUAGUUGGAGUUUUUAAUGGGCAUUUGGUUUUGGGCUAUGUAUUCUUCAAGUUAUAUAUUUUCCUUUUUGUACUCCUUUUCCUUUUUUUAUUUUAAUUGUUAGUUUGACAGCUGUGACAGUAGCUUCUGCUGAUGCAAAAUACUAUUUAAACAUGCACAAUAGGGAGACUAAGUGGUCUGCUGUAUGGGGGAGUUUCUGAUUUACUUCGUCUCUGAUGUUCUGAUAUGACUCUCCUGAUAUAGAUCUAUGAAUAUGCCUCAGGUCGUGUCAAGAUUUGUGAUUAAGGUUUUUAUGCGAUUUUCUGUAUUGCAUUGCUCUUCGGUUUUCUGUUUGACAUCGCCUAUGAUUUUUAGGAUGUGGUUGUCCUGGGAACCAUGUUGACUGGCCUUAGUUUGUGAGAUAGUGAGCUCUGGUGUGAUAGUUUGGGACCAUGUCUACUGGCCUUAGUUUUUAAGGUAGUGAGCUCUGGUGUGAUAGUCUGGGAACCAUGUCUAGUGGCAAUGUUUUUAAGGUUUUGACUACUAGUGACUCGGAUUGGUAAACGAUUUGGUGAGUACUAGACUACUAGUUCAGCAGGGCAGAGGACACUGAUUUUCAUGUAACAUCUGUUGUAUUUUAUCUAGAUUGGUUUGUUUUAUUCAUGUAUUACAUUGAGGUUAUAUAUAAGGCUACAGGCCCUGUUUGUUUGGUGGCAUUUUUUGUUUUUUUAUUUUAUUUCGGUGUUUAUUUCAGCAAUUUUGUUAUAUUUAUUAAAUAUUGUAUAUAUAGUAGACAUGUAUUCUGCCCAUUCAUUUGAUCAUCCAUGUAACAUUUACUUCCAUAUAACAUGUAUUCUGCUCAUCCAUAUAAAGUAUAUAUUUCUUCUGUA